UGAGUAACACGUAUCCAACCUGCCGUCUACUCUUGGACAGCCUUCUGAAAGGAAGAUUAAUACAAGAUGGCAUCAUGAGUCCGCAUGUUCACAUGAUUAAAGGUAUUCCGGUAGACGAUGGGGAUGCGUUCCAUUAGAUUGUAGGCGGGGUAACGGCCCACCUAGUCUUCGAUGGAUAGGGGUUCUGAGAGGAAGGUCCCCCACAUUGGAACUGAGACACGGUCCAA
rnacentral:rRNA from 1 species